AGUUGAGCCGAGAUAUAUGGAGCUUGCUUUAUAUAACUUAGCAGCGAACGGGUGAGUAACACGUAGAUAAUCUAUCCUAUACUGGGGGAUAGCCCGAUGAAAGUUGGAUUAAUACCGCAUAUAGCUAUAUAGUUGCAUGAUUAUGUAGUGAAAGAUUUAUUGGUAUAGGAGGAGUCUGCGGCACAUUAGCUAGUAGGUGAGGUAAAGGCUUACCUAGGCGACGAUGUGUAGCCGGUCUGAGAGGAUGAACGGCCACAAUGGAACUGAGACACGGUCCAUACUCCUACGGGAGGCAGCAGUGGGGAAUAUUGCACAAUGGGGGAAACCCUGAUGCAGCAACGCCGCGUGAGUGAAGAAGGUUUUCGGAUUGUAAAGCUCUGUUAGCAGGGAAGAGGAAGGACGGUACCUGCAGAGGAAGCCACGGCUAACUACGUGCCAGCAGCCGCGGUAAUACGUAGGUGGCAAGCGUUGUUCGGAAUAACUGGGCGUAAAGGAUGCGUAGGCGGUUAAACAAGUUAUAUGUUAAAUAUAUAGGCUUAACCUGUAGAAAGCAUAUAAAACUGUUUAACUAGAGUGCAGGAGAGGUAAGUGGAAUUCCUAGUGUAGCGGUGAAAUGCGUAGAGACUAGGAAGAACACCAGUGGCGAAGGCGACUUACUGGACUGUAACUGACGCUGAGGCAUGAGAGCAUGGGGAGCAAACAGGAUUAGAUACCCUGGUAGUCCAUGCUGUAAACGAUGGGUACUAGGUGUGGGUUGUGAAUAACAAUUCGUGCCGUCGCAAACGCAAUAAGUACCCCGCCUGA
rnacentral:rRNA from 1 species